UAGAAAUGGUCAAACCAAAAAGUCGUCCUCCACAGCAGCCAGUAAGUACUAUGGCUUGUCAAACCAAGGAGCAACAUGCUACCUGAACAGUGUGCUGCAGGUGCUGUUCAUGACCGAAGACUUCAGAGAGGCUGUGAAAAGGCACACCUGUG